UACGUAGGGUUCAAGCGUUGUCCGGAAUUAUUGGGCGUAAAGAGCUCGUAGGCGGUCUGUCGCGUCGGCUGUGAAAUCCCGAGGCUCAACCUCGGGUCUGCAGUCGAUACGGGCAAACUAGAGUAUUGCAGGGGAGACUGGAAUUCCUGGUGUAGCGGUGAAAUGCGCAGAUAUCAGGAGGAACACCGGUGGCGAAGGCGGGUCUCUGGGCAACAACUGACGCUGAGGAGCGAAAGCGUGGGGAGCGAACAGG
rnacentral:rRNA from 1 species